rnacentral:rRNA from 1 species
AACGAACGCUGGCGGCAGGCUUAACACAUGCAAGUCGAACGGUUGUAGCAAUACAGCAGUGGCAGACGGGUGAGUAACACGUGGGAACCUUCCUAGGGGUACGGAACAACUCAGGGAAACUUGAGCUAAUACCGUAUACGUCCGUGAGGAGAAAGAUUUAUCGCCCUUAGACGGGCCCGCGUCGGAUUAGCUAGUUGGUGGGGUAACGGCCUACCAAGGCGACGAUCCGUAGCUGAUCUUAGAGGAUGAUCAGCCACACUGGGACUGAGACACGGCCCAGACUCCUACGGGAGGCAGCAGUGGGGAAUCUUGGACAAUGGGCGCAAGCCUGAUCCAGCCAUGCCGCGUGAGUGAAGAAGGUCUUCGGAUUGUAAAGCUCUUUUACCAGGGACGAUAAUGACGGUACCUGGAGAAUAAGCCCCGGCAAAUUUCGUGCCAGCCGCCGCCGUAAAAC